CCUACGGGCGGCAGCAGUGAGGAAUAUUGGUCAAUGGACGAGAGCCUGAACCAGCCAAGUCGCGUGAAGGAUGACGGCCCUACGGGUUGUAAACUUCUUUUGUCAGGGAGCAAUUGGUUCCACGCGUGGGCUUAGCUAGAGUACCUGAAGACAAGGCAUCGGCUAACUCCGUGCCAGCAUCCGCGGUAAUACGGAGGAUGCGAGCGUUCUCCGGAUUUAUUGGGUUUAAAGGGUGCGUGGGCGGAAUAUCAGGUCAGCGUUAAAAAUUCGGGGCUCAACCCCGUCGUGCCGUUGAAACUGAUGGUCUUGAGUGGGCGAGAAGUAUGCGGAAUGCGUGGUGUAGCGGUGAAAUGCAUAGAUAUCACGCAGAACUCCGAUUGCGAAGGCAGCAUACUGGAGCCCAACUGACGCUGAAGCACGAAAGCGUGGGUAUCGAACAGGAUUAGAUACCCUGGUAGUC
rnacentral:rRNA from 1 species